rnacentral:rRNA from 1 species
CCUACGGGUGGCAGCAGUGGGGAAUAUUGGGCAAUGGGCGCAAGCCUGACCCAGCAACGCAGCGUGAAGGAAGAAGGCUUUCGGGUUGUAAACUUCUUUUGUCAGGGAAGAGUAGAAGACGGUACCUGACGAAUAAGCCACGGCUAACUAAGGGCCAGCGCCCGCGGUAAUACGGAGGUGGCAAGCGGUGUGCGGAUGUACUGGGUGGAAAGGGCGUGUAGCCGGGUUGACAAGUCAGAUGUGAAAUCCUGCGGCCUAACCGCAGCACUGCAUUUGAAACUGUUGGUCUUGAGUACUGGAGAGGCAGAUGGAAUUCGUAGUGUAGCGGUGAAAUGCGUAGAUAUUAGGAGGAACACCAGCGGCGAAGGCAGUCUGCUGGACAGCAACUGACGGUGAGGCGCGAAAGCGUGGGGAGCAAACAGGAGUAGAUACCCUGGUAGUC